GACGAACGCUGGCGGCGUGCCUAAUACAUGCAAGUAGAACGCUGAAGGAGGAGCUUGCUCUUCUGGAUGAGUUGCGAACGGGUGAGUAACGCGUAGGUAACCUGCCUGGUAGCGGGGGAUAACUAUUGGAAACGAUAGCUAAUACCGCAUAAGAGUAGAUGUUGCAUGACAUUUGCUUAAAAGGUGCAAUUGCAUCACUACCAGAUGGACCUGCGUUGUAUUAGCUAGUUGGUGGGGUAACGGCUCACCAAGGCGACGAUACAUAGCCGACCUGAGAGGGUGAUCGGCCACACUGGGACUGAGACACGGCCCAGACUCCUACGGGAGGCAGCAGUAGGGAAUCUUCGGCAAUGGACGGAAGUCUGACCGAGCAACGCCGCGUGAGUGAAGAAGGUUUUCGGAUCGUAAAGCUCUGUUGUAAGAGAAGAACGAGUGUGAGAGAGGAAAGUUCACACUGUGACGGUAUCUUACCAGAAAGGGACGGCUAACUACGUG
rnacentral:rRNA from 1 species